rnacentral:rRNA from 1 species
GACAGGGGAUGCAAGCGUUAUCCGGAAUGAUUGGGCGUAAAGCGUCUGUAGGUGGCUUUUUAAGUCUGCCGUCAAAUCCCAGGGCUCAACCCUGGCCAGGCGGUGGAGACUACUAAGCUGGAGUACGGUAGGGGCAGAGGGAAUUUCCGGUGGAGCGGUGAAAUGCGUAGAUAUCGGAAAGAACACCAAUGGCGAAGGCAGCAUCCUGGGAAGUAUCUGACGCUCAGGUGCGAAAGCCAGGGAAGCGAACGGG